GAUGAACGCUGGCGGCGUGCCUAAUACAUGCAAGUCGAGCGAACGGACGAGAAGCUUGCUUCUCUGAUGUUAGCGGCGGACGGGUGAGUAACACGUGGAUAACCUACCUAUAAGACUGGGAUAACUUCGGGAAACCGGAGCUAAUACCGGAUGAUAUUUUGAACCGCAUGGUUCAAAAGUGAAAGACGGUCUUGCUGUCACUUAUAGAUGGAUCCGCGCUGCAUUAGCUAGUUGGUAAGGUAACGGCUUACCAAGGCAACGAUGCAUAGCCGACCUGAGAGGGUGAUCGGCCACACUGGAACUGAGACAUGGUCCAGACUCCUACGGGAGGCAGCAGUAGGGAAUCUUCCGCAAUGGGCGAAAGCCUGACGGAGCAACGCCGCGUGAGUGAUGAAGGUCUUCGGAUCGUAAAACUCUGUUAUUAGGGAAGAACAUAUGUGUAAGUAACUGUGCACAUCUUGACGGUACCUAAUCAGAAAGCCACGGCUAACUACGUG
rnacentral:rRNA from 1 species